GAUGAAGAACGCAGCGAAAUGCGAUACGUAAUGUGAAUUGCAGAAUUCAGUGAAUCAUCGAAUCUUUGAACGCAUAUUGCGCUCUCUGGUAUUCUGGAGAGCAUGCUUGUUUGAGUAUCAGUAAACACCUCAACUUCCAUAUCUUUUUUUGAAAUGGGAGUUGGACUUGAGUGAUCCCAACGCUUUUCCUCACCGAAAAGUGGCGGGUUACUUGAAAUGCAGGUGCAGCUGGACUUUUCUCUGAGCUAUAAGCAUAUCUAUUUAGUCUGCCUAAAAAACAGAUUAUUACCUUUGCUGCAGCUAACAUAAAGGAGAUUAGUUCUUGUGCUGACUGAUGCAGGAUUCACAAAGACAGCUUCGGCCGACUUUGUAAACUCGAUCUCAAAUCAAGUAAGACUACCCGCUGAACUUAAGCAUAUCAAUAAGCGGAGGA
rnacentral:misc_RNA from 1 species